rnacentral:rRNA from 1 species
CGUAGGUGGCAAGCGUUGUCCGGAUUUAUUGGGUUUAAAGGGUGCGUAGGCGGCUUUGUAAGUCAGCGGUGAAAUACUCCAGCUCAACUGGAGAGGUGCCAUUGAUACUGCAGAGCUAGAGUACUGAUGAGGUAGGCGGAAUGGACGGUGUAGCGGUGAAAUGCUUAGAUAUCGUCCAGAACACCGAUAGCGAAGGCAGCUUACUAAAGAGUAACUGACGCUGAGGCACGAAAGUGUGGGGAUCAAACAGGAUUAGAUACCCUGGUAGUCCACACUGUAAACGUUGAUCACUAGAUGUUGGCGAGUACACUGCCAGCGUUCCAGCAAAAGCGAUAAGUGAUCCACCUGGGGAGUACGCCCGCAAGGGUGA